ACUCCUACGGGAGGCAGCAGUGGGGAAUCUUGGACAAUGGGCGCAAGCCUGAUCCAGCCAUGCCGCGUGAGCGAUGAAGGCCUUAGGGUCGUAAAACUCUUUCGCCAGGGAUGAUAAUGACAGUACCUGGUAAAGAAACCCCGGCUAACUCCGUGCCAGCAGCCGCGGUAAUACGGAGGGGUUAGCGUUGUUCGGAAUUACUGGGGCGUAAAGCGCGCGUAGGCGGAUUAGUUAGUCAGAGGUGAAAUCCCGGGGCUCAACCCCGGAACUGCCUUUGAUACUGCUAGUCUUGAGUUCGAGAGAGGUGAGUGGAAUUCCGAGUGUAGAGGUGAAAUUCGUAGAUAUUCGGAGGAACACCAGUGGCGAAGGCGGCUCACUGGCUCGAUACUGACGCUGAGGUGCGAAAGUGUGGGGAGCAAACAGGAUUAGAUACCCUGGUAGCACAGAG
rnacentral:rRNA from 1 species